AUACUCCGCAAUGCGGGCAACCGCGACGGGGCUACCCCGAGUGCCGGGCGAAGAGCCCGGCUUUUGCCCGGUCUAAAACGCCGGGAGAAUAAGCGGGGGGCAAGUCUGGUGUCAGCCGCCGCGGUAAUACCAGCUCCGCGAGUGGUCGGGGUGUUUACUGGGCUUAAAGCGCCCGUAGCCGGCCCGGCAAGUCGCUCCUGAAAUCCCAGGGCUCAACCCUGGGGCGGGGGGCGAUACUGCCGGGCUAGGGGGCGGAAGAGGCCGCCGGUACUCCGGGGGUAGGGGCGAAAUCCGUUAAUCCCCGGAGGACCACCAGUGGCGAAAGCGGGCGGCCAGAACGCGCCCGACGGUGAGGGG
rnacentral:rRNA from 1 species